rnacentral:rRNA from 1 species
UACGUAGGGGGCAAGCGUUGUCCGGAUUUAUUGGGCGUAAAGAGCGUGUAGGCGGCCUUACAGGUCAGCUGUGAAAACUCGAGGCUCAACCUCGAGACGUCGGUUGAAACCGUAUGGCUAGAGUCCGGAAGAGGAGAGUGGAAUUCCCGGUGUAGCGGUGAAAUGCGCAGAUAUCGGGAAGAACACCCGUGGCGAAGGCGGCUCUCUGGGACGGUACUGACGCUGAGACGCGAAAGCGUGGGAGCGAACAGG